rnacentral:lncRNA from 1 species
GGUGUCUUCCUCUUUGUUCUUCUCGCGGGUUACGUUCCUUUUGAGGAUUCAAACGUUGUUACCAUGUACCGGAAGAUCCAAGGGAGAGAUUACAAGUUCCCAAACUGGAUCUCGAAACCUGCUCGAUCCAUCAUCUACAAGUUGCUCGAUCCGAAUCCGGAAACGAGGAUGAGUAUCGAAGCUGUAACUGAAACCAAAUGGUUCAAGAAAUCCCUUGAAACCUCCGAGUUUAAAUCCAGUGUCUUGGAAUCGGAUGAUCGAUUGGGUAAAUUGACAAGUCAUACGAUCACAGCGUUUGAUUUGAUCUCGUUAUCUGCGGGAUUGGAUCUAUCGGGGCUGUUUGAGAGGAGGAAGAGGAAGGAGACCAGGUUUACUGCGACGGUUUCGGCGGAAGGAGUUGUGGAGAAGGCCAAGACGAUAGGGGAAAAGUUGGGGUUUAGAGUGGAGAAGAAGAAGGAGGCGAUGGCUUUGGGGUUGGGAAAAGGAAGAACGACGGUGAUGGUUGAGGCGGUGGAGCUGGUGGAAGGUUUGGUUGUGGCGGAGGUGAAGGUGGUGGAAGGUGAGGAGGAGGAAUCUUAUUGGUCGGAGCUUAUUGUAGAGUUUGAGGAGAUUGUGCUUUCAUGGCACAGUGACGUAUCUGUUAAAGUUGAAAGUGACUUAGCUUAACUUUGAAGAUUCAAUUUUGUAAAAGAAAUUUUAUGUAAAAUAUCAUAGAUUAGUUCAUUUUUAGAGUUAUCGAACCCUCAAAUUUUAAGAUUUUUUAGUUCUCCAUUCAAAUUUUCAAAUUCGAAGAUUUACUAGUCAAAACUACAAAACACUAUUUAAUUUUUAUUUUUAGUCUUAAUAAUUAUGUAACUUACAUAUAAUUUUACUAAUAUUGAUUUUAUAUCACUUUAAUCUUUAUAGUUAUAUUUCACUUAAAUAUUCAAAUAUAUACAUAUAUAUAUACAUAUUAUUAGUACAUUAAUUAUAUAGUUAUGUUAAAACUAAAUCAAAAUUAUUAAUAUAAAAUAACAUUAUGUAAGAUAAGAACAAUAUGUAUAUGUAAUUGAAUCAUUUUGUAACUUUUUCUUCUAGUUGAUAUACUUUCUCUUAAAAUUUAAAGAUUUGCUUGUUCGGUAAAACUAAAAUAUACAUAUAUGAGCUAUAAAUAUUGUGUUUUGAAUUGUUAGUGUGUAACUAUUAUUUAUUUACAAAAGUUUAGUACUUAUAAUUAUUAUUAGAUUAAAAUAUAAUAUAUAGAAAUAUUCAAAGAUAUACUUGAGAUGCAUUGUUGGAGUAAUCAACUUCAAAAAAUUUAUUUUGAAGAUUACUUGUUGUUGGAAACUUUUUUAGUUUAAAAAUAAAAUAAAAUAAAGAUUUGUAAAAUUUGACCUUAUUUUUAAUGGUAUAUAAGAAGAGGGGUUAAUGUAACUAGUAUCAACUUUUUAAUUAAUAUCUAAUCUAUUAAAACAGAGUCCUAUUUUUAUCUACCUAAGGAAAGUUCAUUUUAAAUUUUGGACUCUUUCGGUUUUCUUACUAGCCUACCUUAUAUAUUGGAUCUGUACAAAUUUGUUAUCGUAAUAACUAUAUACACGCUAGCUAAAUAAUAUAACCGGUUCACUUUAACUAAACCAACGUCUAAAAUACUGAAACCAUCCGAAAUUAACUGAUAUGUUAACCGGUUGACUUAAAUUAAACCAAACUCUAAUAUACUAAAACCAUCCGAACUUAGCCGAUAUAUCAUUUGCUAUUAUAAGAUCAAUAUAAUAACUCUAAUUGGACAUCAUGUUACAAUAUAUUAUCGUAACAGGUUCUCUUCAUCUCGCUACAUGCAAUAGAAAAUGUCAAAUUAUGAGUUAUUUGGUUCAUCUUUCACCAUACAGAACAUUCCAAUAGGUGAAGAAAUAAAUUUAAAACCACAAUACCACACUAUUAUCUGCAUACAAGCUACUCUCAUAUAGAGUUUUGAUCAUGUUCACCAUUUACAUUACAUAUGUUUAGUUUGAGCUAUUAAACCCAAAGAUUUAAUUAAACAUUUCCAUUCAUAUCAAUGGUCUAAUUCCAAUUUUAAAUAUAUUAGAUUAUUAUCUAUAAUAAAUCGUAGACUAAAAUAUUCUAAGCACAUCAAGAGGAGAAUUUAGCAAAUCUAAACUAACGUGUCUUGCAAACAAAAUCAUUUAUAUAUUAAUUGAGAAUCAUUUAAAAAAGUGUAACCUUAAUUUAUACUAAUUAAAAAGAGACUAUGCUUAGGUGUCACUUAAUUAAAAUGAUAACUUAGUUUAUGUGGCAGCUUAAGAAUCAAUUGAAAAAAAUAUUGGUCUAAAAUCCAAUUACUUGGAAAUAUUAUAUUAACCUAAAAUAUAAGAAACAUAUAUUCUUUCCUAAAAUAAAAGCUAUGAAAUUACCUAAUAUGAUUAACAUAUAUACGAAAAUUAAUGAUUAUUAAUAAUAAAGAUUUGAUAACAAUUUUUGCAUCAUUCUUCAUUUUUUUUUAUUUUAUAUUAUUAAAAAUUUAAAUAAUCACAUUAACCAUAAAAUAAAAAAAAAAUUAUAUUUUUUCAGAUAUGUUUUAUUUUGAAUUUUUUAAAACGACUUUAAAUUACAAAAAAAUAUUAAAAAUCCCUUUGAAAAUUUUGUGAUCAAUGACUUAAUUUUUUUUGUUAUAACAUGAUACAAAUGAUCAUAAAAUCGUAUAAAUGUGAAUUUUUAUUUAAUAGAUAUUCAUAUUAAAUAAUAUAUAUAUAUAUAUAUAUAUAAUAAUAUUAAUUUCUUUUAAAUUAAACUAUGUACCAUUUAAACAUACAUAAAUAUGUUAAUUUUGAAAUUUGCAUUGAAAGAGUAUUGGGACCUUAAUAUAUUAAUUUUGAAAUUUGCCUAGAACCAAUAUGAACCAUCAUCAUUUUCUUAAAUGGGCAUAGAACCAUUUUUAAUGAUUAACUAAAAGGAUCACGUACAUAGUAAAAUGUGUUUUUGUUUAAAAAUUAUUGCAUAUCCAAAAUCAAUAUGAACCAUCAUCAUCGUUUAUUUUUUUUUCACAAUAUAAAUAUAGGGUUGGACAAAAAAUUUGAAUCCAUAAAAAUCGAACCAAGGCCGAUCCAAAGAAUAAUACUGAACUUUAACAAAAAAUGGUUAGAUAUCUGAAUGGGUUCAAAAUAUUGGUAUCUAGAGAACAUGAACCGAACCCGAUCCAAACCUUAAGAUUUUAGGUAUCUGAAUAUGUCCGAACAAGAUUUAUAUACUUAAAUAUAUUUAUUAUUUUUAAAUUUAAUAUCUAAAAGAAUAUACAGAAUAUAUAAAACGUUUUUAAGUUGUCCAGAAAACUUGGAAAUAUAUACAAAUAGCUAUAAGUACAUGUUUAAAAUAACUAAACGAUACUUAUAAUACCUAAAAUACUUAAAAUAUCUAUUGAUUUCCAAACCAAAUAUUUAAGCUAAACCAAUUUUUAUGUUAAGUUUAAGUAUUUUGGCAUACAUUAUUCAAAUUUAUAUGUUAUAUAAUAUUUUUAUUUUUAGAUUUUGAAAACUUUAAAGUAUAUAUGAACUUUAAUUUUUGAAAAAAAUUAAAUAGGUUAUCCAAAGUCAAACUCAAACCAAACCCGCAAAAAUCCGAACCAAACUAAACCCUCAAGGAUCUGAAUGGAACCAAAUGGUACUUAAUGUCCAGCUCUAAUCAAAUGUAAAAAAAGUUAUUGAUAACAAAAUGUAUAUUGUUUAUAAUAUUUAAUUACAAUAUAUUUUAAAAAAAAAAUCAUUCCGCGCAAGGCGCGGAGUAUCAUCUAGUUAUUAUUAAAUGCUAAGACGUGUAACACUUGUGCGGACUUAUAUAUAUAUAUACCAAACAAACUUGAUUUUUAAAAAUAGCUUAUUUUAUUUAAAUCUUAGUUAUUAAAUUAAAUAAAAUAUUAAAUUGAUAUUAGAAAUUAUCAAAGUUCAAUAUCUAUAUUAACAAUUGUUGAAUUAAAUUCCCUUUUUUAUUUCAUAAAAUUUUAUGUUUAUAUAUGUCGGUGUAAAUGAUACAUGAAAUUCUACAUUAACACACAAAAUAUCUGGCACAACAUUAGAGACAUUUCCAUUACAUCUGCUCCAAUGAAACAAAAGUUGACGACCACCAUCAAGAUCGUCCUCACAAUGAUGAACUUUCAUCAUUAAGCUAUGACACCCAAGAAAAUAUCACUUUGGAGUGGUUUCAACAGAAUUAAUCUUGUAAAACUUAACCCCAUUUCUCAUAUAGAAAAUAUAAAACUUUAUAUAAACUAAAUACAAUUUCAACCCACAUUUCUAGCUAUAACCAAAAAAAAAAUCUAACAAGCACAACAUACAUCAUUCGAUAUAUUUAAUCCAUGAAUAGAUUUUAUUGGAUCAAAAUAUUCUUUGCUAAUAUCCAAACCAUCAUUAAACAAUUUUUAUUAGAAAUCUUAAUGGUGUUGAAGGCAUUAGAAACAUUCACAACUCCUAAAACAACAACAAAAUAAAAACAACUAAUAAACAUUAUAUAUUGUCAACAAUUUAUAUCUUAGAAACUAUGAUAUAUAUAAAACUACAGAUUAAUACAUAUGUAUUCUCGCACACAAACAAACAAAGGAACACAUAAAACAGACGAUGCCCCAUUAGAUUUAAAGAAAUCAGAUAUUUGCUUAACUUACCGAGGCCACAACAUACAUGUUAAACGCAUACCACUGAAUAUUAAAACUUCAAAUCAAUCUCAUGCCAAAAAAUAACACAAUUUAAAAUUAAGCGCUCAAUAAAACAUAUUUUAUGUCAUGAAUAGUUAAUUCUAAAUUAAAUAUAUAUAUGCUAAAAUUGGUUUAAUACUAAUAAACCAUAUAUACCUAGAUAAGCCUAACUAUGAAAUUUUCGCUUAAAUUUUGUUAAUAUCCAUUAAUUAAUAUCCAUUAAUUAUCCUGAACAGAAUGACAAUAUACAUAAAGAUCGUUUAAGUUUACUAUUACUAAAAUAAAUAUAAGAACAUUAAUUAAUGAUAUUAUCGAUAGAAUUUUCUAAUAUCCAUUAAUUAUCCUAAAUAAUAGUUUGUGUCAAUAUUUCCUGAAAUAACUAAAAUAGUUUAUUAAAACAAAUGGAGAACAUGACAAAUCAGUCAUUUCUUAAAUAAUAGUGGUAGAAUUUGUUAUAUUCAUUAAUUAUCUCAAAUAUUUGUUCGGUAUCAUUAUAUCCUAAAUUCACUAAAAUUGUUUGUCAAAAGUAGACUCGGCCUAAAAUUAUGGAAAACAUGAUAAUUCAGUUAAAUUAUUUUUUAAAUAACAGUAUUGAUAUAUUCAGAUAAAAGAAACAAAAAACAUAAACUGGACAAAAUAAAAGACGUUUUAACCUAUACUAGGAGAUUGUCCCUCCGUGUUAUUGCUGACACCUCUGCUUCUUUCACCGAGGCCUUAGCAUCAUGGCGGUAGCUUCAGCCUCCUCAAACUUAUCCGGCCAAGUGUAGCUACUCUGGUGGAAACUAACAAGUGAGCUGUGGGAAUGUGACCCAUAUUGAUCCAUUGUUAACAUUACCAGGGCCGUUUUAGUCAUCAAGGACAAUCUCUUGUAACUGUUUUGGCAUGCUGUGAGACCUUUCAAACCAAAGAUACCACAAUAUAACAAUCAUCCCCCCCCCACAGUUCUCUAGCGGAGGUUCACCUGAGAAGACUUAUAACAUGAUCACAUUGAAGAGACUCUGAUGCUUAAUUGUGAUGUCUAUUUUGCACCACGACAAAACCGGAAACGAGAGAGCGAGUGUCCAAUACCAGUUGUACCUAAAAUGCAUAUGAUGACUAACAAUCUACAUCAUAGAUAACAUACAAAGAGAAGUCUUUUCACACUCUCGGCUCAUUGGAAAGGCAACAUGGAUAUCAAAACUGCAGCCAAAGAGAGAAUUCUGAAGAAAGAAAUUUUUUUUGCCAACAAAAAUUUAAACUAUUACGAACUAGUUAUCAACUAAGUCCAAACUAGUGUAAAUUUUCAACAUAGUACGCAACAGAAGGAGAACGUUGAGAAUCAUGCGAUAAUUUAUCCGCUAUUGUGUUUCUUGCUCUAGGAAUAUGUUGGAUUUAAAAGUGAGAGAAGAAUUUCUUACAUAGUUGAGUCUCCUCCAUUUGGGGUGCGAAUGCUGGCUAUUUUGUCGGUAUAUACACUAUCUUCACCAACUGAGAAUAUUCAGUAGCAAAUCUCACCUCCGAGAACUGUAGGGCCGUCAUGCACUCCAUGACCCAAAUAAAAGCUUCACAUUCUGCAUGUAAAGAUGUCUAACUGGGAAAUUCAUUGACCCAAUAAUCUUGUCAUUUGAAACUCUUGUGCACGAAAACCAUCCUUGUCAUGAAAACUUAUCUUGUGAACUCAGAUGAUCCAUCUACAUAACACCAUCACAUAUCUCCUUCUUGUUGUCCCGUUUGCGAGCAAUAUGUAUCAUCUAGAUUUUUUAACAUUGUUAAUUUGUGCUUUAGUUGACUGUUUUCUCUUUAUUUCUGCUAGACGCAAGAUCUCUUAUGGGUUUCCAUUUUUGUUUUUUAUAGUUCUAGUCAUUUCUAUUUUUCCAAAUGUACCAUAAAAUCCAUAGAAAAUAAUUGAAAUCAUGAUCUUUAGGAAGUUUCCAAAACAAAUAAUCCAUGUUCACGAAUAUCAAUGAUACUGGAAAAACUCAUGGAUUAGAUGAAAUUUGUGACAUCACCCAUAUUUGAAUUGUUGUGGACAUUCAAAUAAGAUGUGAUUAAUUGAUUUCUCAUCUGCUCCACAUAUACUGAAUUCAUCUUGACUUUAAAGCCUUAGUAAUUGGUAAAUAUCAUGAUAAUGCUUGCCAAACAAAAUGUUUAAAUUUUGGACAGAAUUGAAGCUUCCAAGUGUACACCAAAAAUGGUUUAGUUUUUGGACCAUAAUACUAUGUGUUUGUAUACAUAUCCAGGUACAAUUUUCUGUUUUAUAUCUUGAUUUCACUGUAUAAAACAGAAAAUUGUAGCCAUACUUUGAAUGAUUUGAAUGGAUGACAUUAUAUAAUACUUUGAAUGAUGUCAUCCAUAUGUAUCUAGUUUAGAAGUUCGACUCAUAGCCAUACUUUGAAUGAUUUUCACAUAUUUGUAUUUAUUACGACUUUGUAUUUUCUCAUCUCUUACAGGCUACGAACCAUUGUCCAUUGGUAAAGCUUUGUUUGAUUAUACAUACUUGAUAGAUGAGUUUGCAAGUAAAACUGCAAGAAGAGCUAUAUUUCAAAAAUAAUGUAAUAUUAUGUUUGUUUUUUGAUAUUGUUUGAUAUUAUUAUUUUAAGUUAUUUUUACAUUGAGUUGCUGGGGCCAAUUUUUUUUUUUGGACAACAGGGGCCAAUUUUUUUUCCCUCGCUUCUAGUCUUGUAAAUGUCAGGCACGGCCCUGACGUCAUGACACAAACGUAGUCUGAGUGUCCAAAAUCAGCUUUGGAAGUCCUUCAGUCUCUCACAAAGUACCUUCAAAGUAAUUUUAUUUAAACUAAAUGGCCGUAGCUCCAUCAUAUGAUUUGGCCUAACCUUUUUUAGAAAUCAAAUAAAUAUUAGUUAUAUUUAAUCUUUUAUCAAAUGAUUUCGAGUGUAGAAAAAUGUUAACUAUAACAACAACAUCUACUUCAAUGACUGACCACGAUUGUUGGAAAAAGGCUAUCAUGCCAUCCGAAUCUGCCGCGCGUCGCUACUUCCAGCAGCUAGCCUCCGCGCUAACCUUCUGCCACCGAGAAGGAAUCGCUCACCGCGACGUGAAGCCGCAGAAUCUCCUCCUCGAUAAGCAAGGAAACCUCAAGGUCUCCGACUUCGGUUUAUCGGCUCUCCCGGAGCACCGUAGCAGCACCGGAUUGCUCCAAACAUCGUGCGGCACACCGGCUUACACAGCUCCGGAGGUGAUCGCUCAGAAGUCAUACGACGGAGCUAAGGCGGAUUCGUGGUCGUGCGGUGUCUUCCUCUUUGUUCUUCUCGCGGGUUACGUUCCUUUUGAGGAUUCAAACGUUGUUACCAUGUACCGGAAGAUCCAAGGGAGAGAUUACAAGUUCCCAAACUGGAUCUCGAAACCUGCUCGAUCCAUCAUCUACAAGUUGCUCGAUCCGAAUCCGGAAACGAGGAUGAGUAUCGAAGCUGUAACUGAAACCAAAUGGUUCAAGAAAUCCCUUGAAACCUCCGAGUUUAAAUCCAGUGUCUUGGAAUCGGAUGAUCGAUUGGGUAAAUUGACAAGUCAUACGAUCACAGCGUUUGAUUUGAUCUCGUUAUCUGCGGGAUUGGAUCUAUCGGGGCUGUUUGAGAGGAGGAAGAGGAAGGAGA